GCGGGAAUAACUCAACGGUAGAGUGUCAGCUUCCCAAGCUGAAGGUUGCGGGUUCGAAUCCCGUUUCCCGCUCCA
rnacentral:tRNA from 1 species